UACGGUAGGGCGCAAGCGUUUAUCCGGAAUUAUUGGGCGUAAAGAGCUCGUAGGCGGUUUGUCGCGUCGGCUGUGAAAACUCGGGGCUCAACCCCGAGCCUGCAGUCGAUACGGGCAGACUAGAGUGCUGUAGGGGAGACUGGAAUUCCUGGUGUAGCGGUGAAAUGCGCAGAUAUCAGGAGGAACACCGGUGGCGAAGGCGGGUCUCUGGGCAGUAACUGACGCUGAGGAGCGAAAGCGUGGGGAGCGAACAGG
rnacentral:rRNA from 1 species